rnacentral:ncRNA from 1 species
AACAAACUGUUGAGGAGAAUCACGCCCCCAGCGUCGUAUUUCAGCGAGCCAACGAAUGGUGAGAGGUUGGCAAUUAAGGCCUGGGCAGCUAUCAUCUCUGAACGUCAAUGCGAACUCAGUAGCAUUGGCCGGCUCAUUGCCGUUACCAAAUGACUUAAGGAAUCAGACAACUGAUUUGAACUUGGGUGGUACCACGAAAACGCUUCGUCCCAUUG